GGGUGCUCUGGAUCUUUCUGUCCCGAGCAUAAAGUACGAUGUAUAGCAGUCAUGUUGUAGAGAGUAUGUGAAGGCAGAAAGAGAAAAGCCCCGAAUUGAAGUUAAUCAAAUCGAGGCCUAUCUGCAUGCAUCAACAACAUCAGGUUAGCCUCUUACCCGCCGCAAGGCAAGGAUAAGGAGGUCAGAAAUG
rnacentral:antisense_RNA from 1 species